rnacentral:sRNA from 1 species
CUGAAGAUCCUCAUCAUCGGCGAGAGUGGAGUGGGCAAGUCCAGCCUGCUCUUGAGGUUCACAGAUGAUACGUUUGAUCCAGAACUUGCAGCAACAAUAGCAGUUGGGGAGGAGAUGACUGCAUUGUGAAAAACCUCCAGACUGCCUGUCUGCAUUGGCUGUUGAGAAGUAAAAUGCUAAACUGUCUCUUAGGUAAAUCUCUGAAUCACAAAAAAGUUGUCAGUCCAGAACUGGAGGCGCUCUGGCCUUCUGCAUGAACCUCCUACAAAUAUCAGGUUCUGGACAACCAGCACUUCUUCAGAGAUGAAUAAUCAAAAGGAAUUCAUUAAGCUUGACUGCCACAAAUGUUUGGAAA